rnacentral:rRNA from 1 species
ACGGGAGGCAGCAGUGGGGAAUAUUGGGCAAUGGGCGCAAGCCUGACCCAGCAACGCCGCGUGAAGGAAGAAGGCUUUCGGGUUGUAAACUUCUUUUGUCAGGGAAGAGUAGAAGACUGUACCUGGCGAAUAAGCCACGGCUAACUACGUGCCAGCAGCCGCGGUAAUACGUAGGUGGCAAGCGUUAUCCGGAUUUACUGGGUGUAAAGGGCGCGUAGGCGGGGAUGCAAGUCAGAUGUGAAAUCUAUGGGCUUAACUCAUAAACUGCAUUUGAAACUGUAUCUCUUGAGUGUCGGAGAGGUAGAUGGAAUUCCUAGUGUAGCGGUGAAAUGCGUAGAUAUUAGGAGGAACACCAGUGGCGAAGGCGAUCUACUGGACGAUAACUGACGCUGAGGCGCGAAAGCGCGGGGAGCAAACAGGAUUAGAUACCCUGGUA